GACGUAGGGCGCGAGCGUUGUCCGGAUUUAUUGGGCGUAAAGAGCUCGUAGGCGGCUUGUCGCGUCGACUGUGAAAUCCCGCGGCUCAACUGCGGGUCUGCAGUCGAUACGGGCAGGCUAGAGUUCGGUAGGGGAGACUGGAAUUCCUGGUGUAGCGGUGGAAUGCGCAGAUAUCAGGAGGAACACCGGUGGCGAAGGCGGGUCUCUGGGCCGAUACUGACGCUGAGGCGCGAAAGCUAGGGGAGCGAACGGG
rnacentral:rRNA from 1 species